AGGACUAAUUCUUUCUGAAGCAAACCCGGGGAGUCAAUUGUGGAUUUGGCAGGAGAUGCCAAGCUCUUAAAAACACAGUGGGAGAGGCUGCUGGGGUGAGCCACUUCCAGUCAGCAUGAGCUGGAACUGAGUUACUUAUCAUUUGAAAUCUCACAGGGAAAACAGCACUGUGUAGAACGAACAAGGAACAACCAAUUAAACUUGGAUCCUUCUUUUAGCUCACUGAUGACUCCCUGUGUCUAAAAUGCUAACACCCUCAUGAUCUCCAGGGACUGAAGCCCCCCUUCUCCUGAGAUCACUUGGAGGUGUGUGACAAGAGGAUCCAACAUGGGGAGAGGAG